rnacentral:rRNA from 1 species
AAAGAAACUAACAAGGAUUCCCUUAGUAACUGCGAGUGAAGAGGGAAGAGCUCAAAUUUAAAAUCUGGCAGUGUUUUGCUGUCCGAGUUGUAAUCUAGAGAAGUGCUGCCCGUGCUGGACCAUGUACAAGUCUCCUGGAAUGGAGCGUCACAGAGGGUGAGAAUCCCGUCUUUGACAUGGACUACCAGUGCAUUUGUGGUGUGCUCUCAAAGAGUCGAGUUGUUUGGGAAUGCAGCUCUAAAUGGGUGGUAAACUCCAUCUAAAGCUAAAUAUUGGCGAGAGACCGAUAGCGAACAAGUACCGUGAGGGAAAGAUGAAAAGAACUUUGGAAAGAGAGUUAAACAGUAUGUGAAAUUGUUGAAAGGGAAACGCUUAAAGUCAGUCGUGUCGGCCAGGGAUCAACUCAGCUUUCUCUGCUGGGUGUACUUCCUGAUCUGAUGGGCCAACAUCAGUUUUGACUGCUGGAGAAGGGCAGAGGGAAUGUGGCACCUUCGGGUGUGUUAUAGCUCUCUGUCAGAUGCAGUGGUUGGGACUGAGGAAAGCAGCAUGCCGCAAGGCCGGGUCGUUCGACCACGUUCAUUGCUGAGGAUGUUGGCAUAAUGGCUCUAAUCGACCCGUCUUGA